CUUAAAAAUGGGAGGGAGGAUGAAAACAGCAUUCACCCCCGUAAGGCAGUUGAGAGAGUCAAAUGAGAACAGGCAUUUACUCAGCACAGUGCUCUGUGAAUACUGGCAAGUUGUGCUGUCUGUUCGCCUCUCUGUUGUAAUUAUAUAAUUACCCCCAGGUGACGCCCUUAGAGCAUCCGGGAGAAGGGGCCUGUGCUCUCUACUUCUAGCGCUGUCUUAGCUCCGGCUGCUGUAAGAGAAUACCAUGGACUGGGUGGCUUAAGCAACAGAUCUUUAUUUCUCACAGUCCUGGAGGCUAGAAGUAUGAGAUCAAGGUGCCAGCAUGCCUGGACUCUUAAUGAAGUUUUAUUAAUAUUAGCCGCAGUAGCAACCACUGACGGCGCGUUAAGGAGGAGCACCUAUCUCAGACCUGGGGACCCGAAGUCCCAACACAUAUGCCGCAUGCAAGACUGAAGGGACUAUUAGGCAUUCAGGCAAGGAAAAGGACAAGAAUGUUCUGGGCAGAGAGAACAACAUGGACACCAGCACUGAAGAGGAGAGACACACAGAGUUUGGGGAACAGGAAGAAGAGAGAAAGCACAAGCAGGGGGAGCAGCAGAGGUAGAGGGAGAAGCAGGCUCCCCGCUGAGCAGGGAGCCCGAUGCGGGGCUGGAUGCCAGGACCCUGGGAUCAUGACCUGAGCCAAAGGAAGACGCUUAACCGACUGAGCCACCCAAGCACUCCACAUUAAGGGGUUUUGACUUUCAUUCCGGGACAGUGGAGAACCACUGAAGGGAAGAUGCUGGGACUUGCGGGUAGUGUCUGUGGACUGGAGAAUGGAUUGGAGGUGGGACAGUGCAGUCAAGGAGGCCAAUAAGGAGGCUGUUUCAAUAACUGAAGCAAGACAUCAAAGGGGCCUAGACCGUGGUAGAGGUACUGGGGAUUGAGACAAGAAGAUGGAUUUGGACAGAUUCAAAUAACCGAGGGUAGAAUCACCUAAUUCAAUAGGAAGGUAGAGGGAGAAGUGGACAUUGAGGAUUCGGCCCAGAUUUCUGGCUAUUACCCUGGAAGAAUGACUGAGCCAUUCUUGGAGGCAGAGAACAAAAGAGAAAGAGUGGGUUUAAGGAGGAACAUGGAAGACGCUGAUCUCAGUUCAGACACUCAGUUGGAGGAACCUGCAACACAUCUAAAUGCUAAAGUUCAAGAGAGUGUCUGGGGCUACCAAUGGAUUUGCACUCAAUCCAGAAUGAGUCUUUUCAAAGCAUUUUUAAAAGGUGAACUAAGCACACUUCUGAAUAGCCACAUUAGGUUAGUGAAAGAGGAAUCAGAGGAAAUGGAGAGCCCAGAAAGAUCCAAAACCUACAGUCAGGGCAGUUAGAAGGUUAAUCCCUUAGUUUUGCUAAGAAAUUAAAUUAAAUUAACAUCAAGACCGUACAAUGAAACACAACAUAAAACCCUGGAUCUUUGCAAAACUGCUAACCUGUGCCAGUCAAUUCCUCUCACUAAGUCAAUCAAUUAUUCACCAAACAAUAACCGAGAACCAAACUGUGCUUUGUGCAGUCCUGGAAGUUGCAAACAUAUAAGGCGAACAAGGCAAAGUCUCACUUGAAUGACUUCUUAUAUUGAAGAGGCUAUUUUAAUUAGGGAAGACAGAAAGUCAACAAACAACAACAACCAAGAGAAUGUCAGGCAGUGAAGGAUAAAUACUAUGAUAAAAAUAAAGCCAGGUGAGUAGGAUCGAGAGUGACAGGGGAAAUACUUUGAAUUGGAUGAUCAAGAAAGACCUGAGGAUGCAUGGUGAAUAAGAAGAGCCAGCCAUGCAAAAAAAAAAAAAAAAAAAUCUAGGAGAACAUUCCAGAAGCGGAGGGACCCAUCAGUGUAGACGUCCUAAGGGCCUGAAUCACCGUGGAAGCCCAGAAAGGCAUCGUCAUACGUCCUGUCCUAGCUAUCCAGUUCCCGGGCCGGGCUGAGGCAUCGACGCCAACCACUGGAUCCCUGCCAUCCUCAGAGAAAAGGCACACGGGCUCCCGGAGCCGCCUGCCCCACACAGCCCUGCCUGGGGGAAUCCCUACCCCCCCUCCCCCAGCCCUUGUGGAGAGAGUAUAUGAUUCCAUGACCCCAUGGUCCAGCAGUGAACCCUGACCACAAAGCGUUUUCUAGAGUGGUCUUUAAAUUGCAGCAUGGCAUGACAAGCCCAGGACCCUGCCUGGACCCCAGCUGCUCAUGUCAUCACAGCCUAGGUUCCCAUCCUUUCUGCAGGGGAUUUCAGCCAGGGCACAGGUGGACUUUCGACGACAGGAAACACAUCUUGUAGAAAACCCGUGAAAGCAAAACUCUUCAAUACGCUCCACUUUACCAGUGUCUCCUGGGUUUGCAGUUCGCACAGCAGCAACUUGGUCUUCUGCUCCAUUUUCACAUCUCCCUCCGUCUCCAACAUGGUCAGGAAAAUGCCUGGGAUCACAGGGCGACUAAGUGCAGCAGCUGCAAUCUGAACCCAAACCAGCUGGUUCCAGACCCUGCCUGCUUAACCACGACCCCACAGGGCCACCCCCUUUCCUUCUAGAAUAUGCCUCGAGGACAGGCAUCACCUCCAACCAGACUUCCAGCCCUGGCCGGCACCUAGUGGCUUGCUCGUCAUAAAUCAUCAGGACCCCCUGA